rnacentral:rRNA from 1 species
GACGAACGCUGGCGGCGUGCCUAACACAUGCAAGUCGAACGAGUUUCGCACGGGUGAGUAUCGCGUAGGAACCUGCCUCAUAGCGGGGGAGAACUUUUGGAAACGAUAGCUAAUACCGCAUACUGUGACUGGACCUGAGUUGGAUUAGCUAGUUGGUGGGGUAAAGGCCUACCAAGGCGACGAUCAGUAGUGGUCUGAGAGGAGGAUCCGCCACAUGGAACUGAGACACGGCCCAGACUCCUACGGGAGGCAGCAGUGGGGAAUUUUGGACAAUGGGGGCAACCCUGAUGCAGCCAUGCCGCGUGUAUGAAGAAGGCCUUCGGGUUGUAAAGUACUUUUAUCGAGGAGGCGGUACCUAAAGAAUAAGCACCGGCUAACUACGUGCCAGCAGCCGCGGUAAUAC